GACGAACGCUGGCGGCGUGCUUAACACAUGCAGGUCGAACGAUGAUCAGGAGCUUGCUCCUGUGAUUAGUGGCGAACGGGUGAGUAACACGUGAGUAACCUGCCCCUGACUCUGGGAUAAGCGUUGGAAACGACGUCUAAUACUGGAUACGACUGCCGGCCGCAUGGUCUGGUGGUGGAAAGAUUUUUUGGUUGGGGAUGGACUCGCGGCCUAUCAGCUUGUUGGUGAGGUAAUGGCUCACCAAGGCGACGACGGGUAGCCGGCCUGAGAGGGUGACCGGCCACACUUGGACUGAGAAACGGCCCAGACUCCUACGGGAGGCAGCAGUGGGGAAUAUUGCACAAUGGGCGAAAGCCUGAUGCAGCAACGCCGCGUGAGGGAUGACGGCCUUCGGGUUGUAAACCUCUUUUAGUAGGGAAGAAGCGAAAGUGACGGUACCUGCAGAAAAAGCACCGGCUAACUACGUGCCAGCCGCCGCCGUAA
rnacentral:rRNA from 1 species